AGCCCUUUCGGGCGUUUCCUCCCAAUGACUCGGCCGCCCUCUUCUCCUGGAGGGCGGCCGUUCUUUU
rnacentral:sRNA from 1 species